rfam:Camelus ferus unplaced genomic scaffold scaffold876, whole genome shotgun sequence.
GAGGGUAUAGCUCAAGUGGUAGAGCACAUGCUUAGGGUGCAUGAGGUCCUGGGUUCAUAUCCCCAGUACCUCCU